UUCAGUUCAUUCAUUCUCAACACCCCUACAUCCCCUCUCACUCACCCUUUUCUGUUCAAAACACUCUCGCCGGAGACACCGCAUCGCUGCCGGAGAAGACGACCGGAAGCACCCUCCAUCGCCGGAACUUCGCCGGAGAACCCGAAGACGUCCCCAGAAGCCCGCACGCUUCUGUUUUGGUAUAUCCUUCUAGUUCCACUUGCUUCCUCGAUUUGUCCAUGUUAAAAUGUAUUUUUUUUUUUUUUUUGACGUUUUGAUCACCGAACAUACGAAUUAGAAUUGAGUUAAAAGCUACUGUUUUCAUUAAAAAUGAUGAUGAAAAUAUGUGUUGGUCAAUUUCCAAUAAGAAAGUCUAAAAGGAAUCUACUGUUAUAUAUAAUAUUCUUAUCCCAUUUUUUUGUUCGGUUAAUAUCCAUUACGAAAUUCUUUUGAACUUUAGCAAAAUAAGCAAACAUUUCAGUAUAUUAAUCAAUAGUUCUUUUCUUACAAUUUUCUAUAUAUAAUGAAACAUCAAACUAACAAAUAUUCAUUUGGUAUAUACUUAACAGUUGCUUAAUAUAUAUAUAUUUUUCUAGAAGAAAGAAGAUGACAAAGAUGAUAUGUUUUAAAAAUAAUAACUUUCUUUUAUUUGAUUUUGUCUUUUAUUUAUUGAUUUAUUUUUUUUUUAUCUAAUUAAAGCCAUAAACUUAAAUCUAAAUAGUUAAUGAAUUAUUAAUUUGGAAACAAAAUACUAAACUUUAACCUAUAAAUUAACGAGUUCGUUAUGUGACAUUCUAAAUAUCUAGGAUAACAUAUCCUGUUCGUUCACUUGGAUUAUUCUCCAUCCUUGCUCGUACGUUCUUACAAGAAAGCGCAACGCAAUCAAUGUGAGUAUACAUGACCCAUUUUCUAUUUUCCACUUUUGGGUUGAUUUAUCAAGAAUUCAAGAAAACAAGCUAGGAUGGCUUUAGAAACACAUUUUAGUUAUAAACCUUGUUGAGAUUAUGUUUUGGAUAUUUGAAACUUUGUAUUGUUCCCUAGUUUUAAUAAAUGGAUUAAUUUUAUAUUAUC
rnacentral:lncRNA from 1 species